UUGACCUCGGAUCAGGUAGGACUACCCGCUGAACUUAAGCAUAUCAAUAAGCGGAGGAAAAGAAACCAACAGGGAUUGCCCCAGUAACGGCGAGUGAAGCGGCAACAGCUCAGAUUUGGAAUCUGGCCCCCAGGGCCCGAGUUGUAAUCUGGAGAGGAUGCUUCUGGCGCGGCGCCUUCCGAGUUCCCUGGAACGGGACGCCGGAGAGGGUGAGAGCCCCGUACGGUUGGACGCCUAGCCUUUGUGAAGCUCCUUCGACGAGUCGAGUAGUUUGGGAAUGCUGCUCAAAAUGGGAGGUAAAUUUCUUCUAAAGCUAAAUACCGGCCAGAGACCGAUAGCGCACAAGUAGAGUGAUCGAAAGAUGAAAAGCACUUUGAAAAGAGGGUCAAACAGUACGUGAAAUUGUUGAAAGGGAAGCGCCCGUGGCCAGACUUGUGCCCCGCGGACCACCCGGCGCCCUCAGCGCCGGUGCACUCCGCGGGGCGCAGGCCAGCAUCGGUUUUCCUAGGGGGAUAAAGGCGGCGGGAACGUGGCUCCUUCGGGAGUGUUAUAGCCCGUCGUGCCAUGCCCCUGGGGGGACCGAGGACCGCGCU
rnacentral:rRNA from 1 species